UUAUGUGCCCUUAGAAUUCAGCCUAGCUCCCAACCGCGGUGGGAAGUCUCCAUAUUGUGGAACCUUCGCAAGGCCCGAUUUCCAAUAUGGAUUUAGAGUGGUAUCUUGUUCAGAAAGAAGCCUGGGGGCGGUGUUUAAACACAUGCAAAGUUGGACGGGAAGGUUUCUCCCGAAGAACAGAGAUAGAGGUGGGGCCACCGGUGGAGUAACGGCGUAAUAAUUACCUGGGUUCUUGGAUAAACCUUCGAAGGAGGGAUAAUACCGGCUUAUUGCCUUUACUGCAGGGUAAAGGCAGGAAAGAUGGGGCUUUUCGGAACCUAUCACAUGGGAUGAGUUUGCGUACCAUUAGCUAGUUGGUGGGGUAAUGGCCCACCAAGGCGACGACGGUUAGCGGGUCUGAGAGGAUGAUCCGUCAUACUGGCACUGGAACACGGGCCCAGACUCCUACGGGAGGCAGCAGUGAGGAAUAUUGCGCAAUGGGGGAAACCCUGACGCAGCGACGCCGCGUGAGUGAGGAAGGCUUUCGGGUCGUAAAGCUCUGUCAGACGGGAAGAAGUGCUAUGUAGUUAAUACCUGCAUAGUUUGACGGUACCAUCAGAGGAAGCACCGGCUAACUCCGUGCCAGCAGCCGCGGUAAUACGGAGGGUGCGAGCGUUGUUCGGAAUCACUGGGCGUAAAGGGCGCGCAGGCGGCGUGCUAAGUCAGAUGUGAAAGCCCACGGCUUAACCGUGGAAGUGCAUUUGAAACUGGCAUGCUUGAGUACCAGAGGGGAAGGUGGAAUUCCCGGUGUAGAGGUGAAAUUCGUAGAUAUCGGGAGGAAUACCGAGAGCGAAGGCGACUUUCUGGCUGGAUACUGACGCUGAGGCGCGAAAGCGUGGGGAGCAAGCAGGAUUAGAUUCCCUGGUAGUUCACGCCGUAAACGAUGUGAACUAGAUGUUGGAGGUGUUGAUCCCUUCGGUGUCGGAGCUAACGCAUUAAGUCACCGCCUGGGAAGAUUUUUAU
rnacentral:rRNA from 1 species